rnacentral:rRNA from 1 species
UAGGGAAUUUUUCACAAUGAGCGAAAGCUUGAUGGAGCAAUGCCGCGUGAACGAUGAAGGUCUUUAAGAUUGUAAAGUUCUUUUAUUUGGGAAGAAUGACUUUAGCAGGCAAUGGCUAGAGUUUGACUGUACCAUUUUGAAUAAGUGACGACUAACUAUGUGCCAGCAGUCGCGGUAAUACAUAGGUCGCAAGCGUUAUCCGGAUUUAUUGGGCGUAAAGCAAGCGCAGGCGGAUUGAAAAGUCUGGUGUUAAAGGCAGCUGCUUAACAGUUGUAUGCAUUGGAAACUAUUAAUCUAGAGUGUGGUAGGGAGUUUUGGAAUUUCAUGUGGAGCGGUGAAAUGCGUAGAUAUAUGAAGGAACACCAGUGGCGAAGGCGAAAACUUAGGCCAUUACUGACGCUUAGGCUUGAAAGUGUGGGGAGCAAAUAGGAUUAGAUACCCUAGUAGUCCACACCGUAAACGAUAGAUACUAGCUGUCGGGGCGAUCCCCUCGGUAGUGAAGUUAACACAUUAAGUAUCUCGCCUGGGUAGUACAUUCGCAAGAAUG